GCAAGUGUGGUGUAGUGGUUUGAGCAUUGGAUUCUGACUCUGACUCUGGAGAUCAGGGUUUGAUUCCCCGCUUGAC